GUGAUUGUAAUGUGCAGCAGCGGCUCCUAUAUAUGGGAUGUCUCUUCGGGGACUAUGGACAUAAACGCGCUCGUAAUAAGCGGAUCGGACCCGGGGGCGGUACCCGGCGACUCCACCAAUACUCCCUCGUUUGGGGACCAUGGGGUCGAAAUAGGAUCGACGGACGUCUAAAGGGGUUUGCUUUGUCUCGGUGAGUUACCACCGUUAUCGGUACACUAAAGCUAGUUGCAAACGACAACAAAGCUCCAAUGGCGAUGGCUGCGUAAGCAGUCGGAACUAUUGAAAACUUAAGCCCUUAGGCCUAGCAGCUUAAGGCGGGGUUUGCAGGUACCUGGCAACAGAAACCUGCGCU
rnacentral:tmRNA from 1 species